GUAAAACCAUCAACUAUAAUAGCAGUUGUUUGCGUACGAUUCAUCUUUAGUCCAUUGAUAGGGAUUGUAAUUGUUAAAACAGCAGCCAACUUAGGGUUCCUUCCAGCAGAUCCUCUGUAUCAUUUCGUGCUAAUGCUUCAGUACACCGUUCCACCAGCUAUGAAUAUCAGUACAAUGACACAAUUAGUUGAUGUAGCACAAGAAGAGUGUUCUGUUCUAAUCAUGUGGACUUAUUUGGUAGCAGCAUUAGCACUCACCAUUUGGUCCACUAUAUUCAUGUGGAUCUUAUCAUGAUAAAUAUAAUUAAUAA
rnacentral:misc_RNA from 1 species